rnacentral:lncRNA from 1 species
CUUCUCUCUUCUUCCCAUUCUGUUCUGGCCUUUAUCAUCAAUUAUUUCUCCUUAUACCCAAGUCCAAACUAUGCAAAAUCUAAAGAUAGAUUCAAUAGAACAACAACAAAAUCUCAAUUGUUUGUGUCUAUUACUUUUGCUUCUUAAUUUAGUUCAAAACAACACUACUCAAACCCAUAACAGUAAUACAUGCUAAUACUAACCCUUCUCUAAACAUAACAAUAAGGAAAACACUGAUCCAAUUGAGAUUUGGUUGGUUAAGGUUUUUUUUUUUUUAAAAAAAAAAAUAUUCAAACGACUCUCUCUUUUCCUCUUCUCCAAUCUUAUCUUCUUCUCUCUUUUCUUCUCUUCUAUUCUCAAAUCAAAAUCAAGUCGUGUAUGAAGAUGGUGGUUGAGUUUGACGGUGAUGGAUCUGCGAUGGUUGGAGGUCGUGCGCGGUGACGACGGUUGUGAUUGUGACGGCGACGUUGUGGUGGAUACUACGGUGACGGGUUUAACGGCGGUGGUGACAGUGAAGGUUUAACGACGGUGGUGAUGUGGUGGUUGGAUGGCUGCUUCUUCAAGCAUUAGUUGUUGUUGGUGGUGAUGCAGAAGGUUGUUGUGGUUGGUGGUAGAGAAUGAAAAAAAUUAUGGAUUUGAAAACCACCAAUAUUGUUGUUGUUCUCUCUGUAAAAACCCUGGAUUUGAAAAAACCACCGAAAUUUUUUUUGUUGUUGCUGAUUUUCUAUGAAGUUUCUGGAAAAUAUUUUUGGAAGAAAAAAGAUGAGGAUGAAGAAAGAAGGGAAGUAUAAAGUUUCUGGAAAAGAAACUUAAAAGAAAGAAGAAAGAAAAACGAACAUAUACAUGAGUAAGAAAAGAAAUAUGAAGUUUCCGAAGAAAAAAAAAUUGAUGUAUUUUUAAGUAUUUUUUUUUUUUAUAAUUGUAAAUAAAGACAUGUUAGUGAG